AUGAGUCCACAAUACCUUCCUAUAUGCGGUAUUUACCUACCGUUCCAAGUAAAUUUGUAUGUGCCAAACUCUAAACCUUCAAAUAAAAAUUAUGUUUUGUAUGCUCGAGUAACUCAUGUAUCAACUAGGGCUGUCUGUAUAUUCCAUGCUAGGUGGGUUAUUCUCAAGAGGAGUGGACUACGCUCCUCACUCAUGAGAAAAUGGCUUGUCACCGGGAUGCCCAGUCCCAUGCUCAAAUCAAAUCAAAAUAAUUACAAACAAAACUCCCGCAGGAUUGUUGUUAGUUGGAGGCAGCCAUUGUUUCGGGCAAGCCAUGGAUUGAUGCUUGUUGGUGGUGGGGGAGUAUAA
rnacentral:rRNA from 1 species